rnacentral:rRNA from 1 species
CAGUAGCCGCGGUAAUACGUAGGUGGCAAGCGUUGUCCGGAAUUAUUGGGCGUAAAGGGCUCGCAGGCGGUUUCUUAAGUCUGAUGUGAGAGCCCCCGGCUCAACCGGGGAGGGUCAUUGGAAACUGGGAAACUUGAGUGCAGAAGAGGAGAGUGGAAUUCCACGUGUAGCGGUGAAAUGCGUAGAGAUGUGGAGGAACACCAGUGGCGAAGGCGACUCUCUGGUCUGUAACUGACGCUGAGGAGCGAAAGCGUGGGGAGCGAACAGGAUUAGAUACCCCCGUAGUCCCUGUCUCUUAUAC